UACAGAGGGGGCCAGCGUUAUUCGGAAUUAUUGGGCGUAAAGAGCGUGUAGGCGGUCCGGUAAGUCAGCUGUGAAAGUCAAGGGCUCAACCCUUGAAAGCCGGUUGAUACUGUCGGGCUAGAGUCCGGAAGAGGCGAGUGGAAUUCCCGGUGUAGCGGUGAAAUGCGCAGAUAUCGGGAGGAACACCAAUGGCGAAGGCAGCUCGCUGGGACGGUACUGACGCUGAGACGCGAAAGCGUGGGGAGCAAACAGG
rnacentral:rRNA from 1 species